CUCGAGUAGGAUUGUCUCCGGAUCAGAUUCAAGCGAUUAAUGAGUCUCCAUUAGACUCGCCGAGGAUGGGGUGGAUGCAGGAUUUGGAAGUUGCUGACUACGAAGAAUUAUACGGACAAUUUUUUGGUCAGCACGAUAGGGAUGAGUUUUUUGAAAUGCAGCAAUUUCAGUCCAUAUGGAAUUCUAAUAAUUGAUAUACGUUCGCUUAAUUGCUUAACCAUUUGAUUUUUUUUUUAAUAAUGUCAUAUCAUCAACCAAGGUUUUUCGAUUAUAUUCAGUAAAGUAUAAUAAAUUUUCGACCCUUACUGUUUUUCUUGGGUUCAAUUUGUAAUCUCUUAACAAUGAUGAUGUCAUAAAUACCAAUAUGAUUAAUUCAAAUUUUCAAUAUAUAUGUAAUGUUUUGGUUCCUUGUCAGUCAGAUAGUAUCAUAUGGUUUAUACGAGAAAUAAAUAUAAACCAAGGAAAAAACUCAAUCCAAGAAAAAAAAAUGUUAUCUUAUAAAAACUUAGAAAAAAGGGUGGUUACCUUGUGCUUCGUCUUCGGUUUUCGUUGUGGUAUUCGUUAAAUUGGAAUAAGACUAACUCCGAAAAAUAGGUAAGAUUAUAGACCAAAAACCUGAAACUCCUAUGGUUUAUUAAAAACAAAA
rnacentral:lncRNA from 1 species